GUACCCGAUUACGGAGCGCUGCUUGGCUUCCCUAGCAUGCAGAUGUGUCGGGGCUGCAUGUGCACACAGGUUAUCUGACAGGCAGUAAUUCAGGGUAGCCGAUCUCGUUCAGCUUCAGGCAUUGUUAAAACCAUGUUACAGUAGCCAGAGAGGCAGUGCCUCAGGUGUGUUAUGCAGCAGGACAAUAGGGGGGUGUUACUUCCUGAUAAAGCAAAUCUUACUGAGACCACGUGGGAUUGCUUUCCUUCCCUCACCUGUUGGCGUCAAGCAUGACAAAUAAAAUUGUACUGUGAAUGCCACUGUCUCAGUAGUUGUCAGCAAUUAUAUGGUAACAGCUAUAUUUAUAUGGUGAAUUUUGGGGCAUAUUCCAAAAGGAAGCAAUUUUACUCAUAGCUCACAGUCCCAGACCUUGAAGAUAAGGUGAAGGUUUUACUGUCUCUUACAAUCUCUUAACAUGUAACACAACCAGCAAACUAGAAGUAAUUAAACUUCUAGUAGCUGCUUGUACGCCCUACUGCAGUUAUCACCAAGAAAGCUCUCAUUUCUCAGUGAUCCUGUGGAAGGAUACAGUCUUCCCUGUGGUGUAGAAACCUUUGCACAUGUGCCUCCGCUUCCUUGAGCUCCUGUUACUAUGGUCUUGCCAGAAGAAUUCACCUCAAGCCCUUCCUGAAAGCUUCAGAUACAAAGCCACGCAGCUCUGCCUGGGAAGCACGUGACAGAAAUCAGACUUUGCUGCUUUGAUUUGCCCCAGUUAAUAAUUUCUAGGUGUUGUCUUGUCUGUCAUAUAUAAAAUUACAUAAGUUGUCCAAGACUUUGCUUUUGCAAGCAGCACUGCUUCCUGUGACUAAUGAGGAUAGGCAGACUUGUCAAAACUUGACUUAAGAGGUGCGAGCUUUCAGGAUUGUUUUCAGUUGCGCUGUCUGAACUGUCUCCAGCAGAGCCAAAUCUGGGCCUCAGUAAAAGAAAUGGCUCCUGUCCCGCUUUGACCCUGGGGAGAGAUGAGGCCUGUGAGUUGUGCCACUGAGCAA